AGCUUGGAAGCCUCCGUGAUGGAAGGCACGAGUCCUUAAGACACAGGCAACUCUGUGUCACUGCUCCAGCCAGGCUGUAAGAAGUCAGGCAGUGCCACACCUCCAGCCAUGCACUGAGCACAGGUGAUGUGAAUGCAGCGUCGUGUGGGACAGCAGCAUGGUCCAUAGCCAUCAUUACAUGAACCAAUCCUGCAGCCGUCCUGCGCUGGCUUUUCAGCACCUUACCUGAGGUAAGGUCAGCAACAAUCGUCUGGAGAGCAGCAAGAUGGGUGUAGCAACUGACAUCGGCAGCCUUCAAUCCAAGACAGAGAGUUGGAGCUGCUAAUCUAAAGCAAAAGAAAAAAAUCCUGGGGUGAAGAAUGAAAUAAAGGAGGGAAGGAAACUCG